AUUGAACGCUGGCGGCAUGCUUUACACAUGCAAGUCGAACGGUAACAGGCCUUCGGGUGCUGACGAGUGGCGAACGGGUGAGUAAUGCAUCGGAACGUACCCAGAGGUGGGGGAUAACGCAGCGAAAGCUGUGCUAAUACCGCAUGUGAUCUGAGGAUGAAAGCGGGGGACCGAGCAGCAAUGUUUGGCCUCGCGCCUUUGGAGCGGCCGAUGUCGGAUUAGCUAAUUGGUGGGGUAAAGGCCUACCAAGGCGACGAUCCGUAGCUGGUCUGAGAGGACGACCAGCCACACUGGGACUGAGACACGGCCCAGACUCCUACGGGAGGCAGCAGUGGGGAAUUUUGGACAAUGGGCGCAAGCCUGAUCCAGCAAUGCCGCGUGCGGGAAGAAGGCCUUCGGGUUGUAAACCGCUUUUGGCGGGAACGAAACGGUGUCCGCUAAUACCGGGCGCUAAUGACGGUACCUGCAGAAUAAGCACCGGCUAACUACGUG
rnacentral:rRNA from 1 species